CCUACGGGUGGCUGCAGUGGGGAAUAUUGCGCAAUGGGCGCAAGCCUGAUGCAGCCAUGCCGCGUGUGUGAAGAAGGCCUUCGGGUUGUAAAGCACUUUCAGCGGGGAGGAAGGCGGUGAGGUUAAUAACCUCAUCGAUUGACGUUACCCGCAGAAGAAGCACCGGCUAACUCCGUGGCCAGCAGCCGCGGUAAUACGGAGGGUGCAAGCGUUAAUCGGAAUUACUGGGCGUAAAGCGCACGCAGGCGGUCUGUCAAGUCGGAUGUGAAAUCCCCGGGCUCAACCUGGGAACUGCAUUCGAAACUGGCAGGCUAGAGUCUUGUAGAGGGGGGUAGAAUUCCAGGUGUAGCGGUGAAAUGCGUAGAGAUCUGGAGGAAUACCGGUGGCGAAGGCGGCCCCCUGGACAAAGACUGACGCUCAGGUGCGAAAGCGUGGGGAGCAAACAGGAUUAGAUACCCCGGUAGUC
rnacentral:rRNA from 1 species